rnacentral:rRNA from 1 species
AAGAGCCCAGCACCGAAUCCUUCACCAUCUCGGUGACAGGAAAUGUGGUGUUUAGGCCGUACCUUGUCCCGACACGUCUCUCCUCAAGUCCACUUGAUUGUGGCCCCAGGCCCAGAGAGGGUGUAAGGCCCGUGGAGGCGAGACGUUCGGUACCUGGUGCGUCCUUAGAGUCGGGUUGUUUGGGAAUGCAGCCCUAAGCGGGUGGUAAACUCCAUCCAAGGCUAAAUACCAGCACGAGUCCGAUAGCGAAGAAGUACCGCGAGGGAAGGUUGAAAAGAACUUUGAAGAGAGAGUUCAAGAGUACGUGAAACCGCUGAGAGGCAAACUGGUGGAACUGAAAUGGUCCCGAGGAAUUCAGCCGUUGGUCGUUGCACAGUCUUUGGUGAUUGAUCUAACGACGGCGCCAUUGAAUGACGUUUCGAUCAUCGGUGCACUUUCCUCGCCUGGGCCCGACCACGACCGGUGAGCUGAUCUGUCUGUCGUGCUUGGAAGAUAGCGCCGUCUUCGGAAGGCGUGUUAUAGACAGGCAUACGGAGCAGUCGGCGCACUGGAUGAUAGUGCCUGCCCAUCUGGGCUCAUAUGGUGGUUGUUUUGUUGGCGAGUUCUGAUGUCACUACUUCGGUAGAGUCGUUAGACUCUGUUGGCAUUAUGGCUGUCCUCUAUGAUUGGCACUGUUAAGUCUGUGGUUGUGAAGUAGGUAGUCCACCUGACCCGUCUUGAAACACGGACCAAGGAGUCUAACAUGUGCGCGAGUCAUUGGGUUCACGAAACCUAAAGGCGCAGUGAAGGUAAAGAUCUGUUUUGGCAGAUUGAGGUGGGAUGCCGGGUUACGCGCCCGGCCGCACNACCGGCCNGUUCUAUAUGUCUUUCAUAGGAGCGGAGCAAGAGNGUACACGUUGGGACCCGAAAGAUGGUGAACUAUGCUNGCGCA